rnacentral:misc_RNA from 1 species
UCCGAGUUGACCCCGGCAGUCUCCUAUGAGUCCCCACCAUCACGUGCUGGCAACAUAGAACGAGGGUUGCGCUCGUUGCGGGACUUAACCCAACAUCUCACGACACGAGCUGACGACAGCCAUGCACCACCUGUGCACCGGCCCCGAAGGGCUGCCGUAUUUCUACGACACUCCGGCGCAUGUCAAGCCUUGGUAAGGUUCUUCGCGUUGCGUCGAAUUAAUCCACAUGCUCCGCCGCUUGUGCGGGUCCCCGUCAAUUCCUUUGAGUUUUAAUCUUGCGGCCGUACUCCCCAGGCGGGGUGCUUAAUGCGUUAGCUUCGGCACGGAAGGGGUUGAUGCCCCCCACACCUAGCACCCAUCGUUUACGGCUGGGACUAC